GCCAGUAUGGUGUAAUGGUUUGAGUGCUGGACUAAGAGUCUGGAGAUUAGGGUUCGAUUCCCUGCUCAGUCA